CCAUCGGUGGUUCAGUGGUAGAAUGUUCGCCUGCCACGCGGGAGGCCCGGGUUCGAUUCCCAGACGAUGCA
rnacentral:tRNA from 1 species